AGGGAGUGGGGAGAAUGGCGCUCCCCUUCACGCAGCUGGUGUGGCUCGGAGUUGGCUUGGAAGUUUACACACUUGAGCUCUAUCGAUUCCGAAACUUCCCGAUACAUCGUGAGGUGUGGGCAGGAGGGAGACGCGCCAGGCAGCCGCCAACGGGGUGGAAUCCCCGGGCCCAGCCUCCUGCGGGAGGGGGCUCUGCUCCCUCCAGGCCCCGGUCGCUCCUGCCUGGCCCCGGGGACCCCGUUCUUCCUCCGACUCCGACGACGGGCUCCUCCUGCCCGGACAUGCCCCGCCACAAGUGACCCGGGCCAGGCACCCCCGCCGCGUCCCCCUCUCUCCCUGCCCCCUCCCGGUGCCAGGCGCGCUUUUCCCCAGGCAGGACCGUGGUGGGGACUCACCUGCAGCAGGACCCCGACGACGACAAACUUGAAGGUCUUGUGGACCCGGAGCCGAGGGAUGGCUUCCCGCGCCGGCCUGUGUCCUGGGGCGCGCCCUGCCCGGGCCCGGGCACUGGGUCCGUGCUGUCCCAUGGGGGUAGGGAGCGCUCCUCGGCCCCCGCCUCGUGCUUCAAUCCUCCCCGCGGAAGAGCCCCACACUUUGCUGGGUGUGGCCGCGGCUGCCUCUGUCCCACUCGCUGCGCUCCCGGGAUUCGGAGUCACUGCCAGGAACGCACCUAGCUUUAUUCCAGCUGGUGGUGGCGCCAUCCUGCCAGGUCAAUCCAAGAAGCAGCGUGCUUGGCUAUGACAAGACAGAACUUCGCAUUCGGAGUUCAGGGCAUCCCUGACCCCGCCCCCUUUUCGGGGGCACCUGCGGCUCCUGUUGGCUAACCCUGAACUUCCUUCCUCUGUGACCGCCCUCGCCGCUCUCAGCUUCUGUUCCUCAACCACGGCCGCCGCGUGGAUGCCGUUGCAUUCGGAGUCGUUUUGCCACUUGGUCCCACCGCGAGGCUUCUCGGUCGGGAGUCGACCUCAGCCUUUCUGUGACCGAGUUCCUGGCACCCAGCAGGCGCUCGGUGGACGGAUGGGUGGCGGAAUGAAGGACACAGAGGCCACCGUGGGCCUCUAAGAGGCUUUUACGGCCUCCUCCGUCACUACCGGGCGAGUGAUUCAGCCUGCCCUUUUUUUUUUUUUUUUUUUUUGAGAUGGAGUCAAGCUCUGUCGCCCAGGCUGGAGUGCAGUGGCACGAUCUCGGCUCACUGCAACCUCCGCCUCCCAGGUUCAAGCGAUUUUCCUGCCUCAGCCUCCUGAGUAACUGGGAUUACAGGUGCCCGCCACCACGUCCGGCUAAUUUUUUUCUAUUUUUAGUAGAGACGGGGUUUCACUGCUUUGGCCAGGCUGGUCUCGAGCUCCUGAUCUCGUGAUCCGCCCGCUUCGGGCUUCCAAAGUGCUGGGAUUACAAGCGUGAGCCACCGUGCCCGGCUCAUCCUGCUUUUGGUUUCAGGUCUCCAUGCCAGUGAAAUGUCACCCCAACUCCACCGUCCCUGGUGUCAGGCAAGCCCGAGGGACCCAAUUCUGCCUUUCUUCUGGAUUUUCCUAACCUGUUAAGAGUCUUGAAAGUCCUUAAACCACGGGAGACUACCUGGCACAUGACACGGGAUGAGACUUGGUGGGGGUCCCACGGGGGACAGGUCCUUCCAGCGGUUCCUCUGCACCCAGCGCUGCACGGGUCAGGGGCGCGGGUAAUCAGCCUCCCGAAAGCCACGCGAGUCACCGUCCUGCCUGCGAAGAACUCCCAGGGCGACCUUGGGGCUGAGGAGUGGGCCUGCUUCGGCCUUCUGCUCUUCUGUUGUGUGGUGACCCUCACCAGAGGACAGUUUCAUGCUCUUGGACUUCCCAGCCUCAAGAACUGUAAGAAAUGAAUUUCUUUAUAAGUUGCCCAGUCUGUGGUAUUUGGUUAUAGCAGCAGGAAAUGGAGUAAGACAAUGCCCUUUAUCAGAUCAAAUUCCCUUUCAUUUCUACUUUGCUGUUUUUACCAUUAAUAGAAUGUGAAAUAUAACAAUAAACAAUAACGUUUGACACAUUGAAACGUAUCAAAUAUUAUUUUUUGGCAUCUAUUGAGAUGAUUAUAUUGUUUUUCUCUUUUAUGCUAUUCAAAUGUUUAAUCAAAUUGACUUUCAAAUGUUGCAUCUACCUUGAAUUCCUGGGUUAAAUUUCACUUGUCAUGAUGUAUUAUCUUUUUAACAUAUUGCUAGGUUUGAUUUGCUAAUACUUUCUUAAGCAUAUUUUUGUGUCUGUAUUCAUGAGAGAUAUUGAUUUAUCAUUGUCUUUUUCUGUAAUGUCUUUCUAAGUUUGGGUAUACUCAUUAUUCUGGCUUUAUAAAAUAAACUCAGUUUCCUGAGAGUCUUA